rnacentral:sRNA from 1 species
AGUGUCGAAGCAUAUUAGCGUACCGGAAAGCCUUGUUAUGCGGAGCUUUCAGUAGGGGUUGUGCAGGAACCUCAAACCGGAGUAGGCAGAUGUCGAAGGAAAAUGCUCAA